rnacentral:rRNA from 1 species
AGAUUAAGUUAUUAAGGGCGCACGGUGGAUGCCUUGGCACUAGAAGCCGAUGAAGGACGUUACUAACGACGAUAUGCUUUGGGGAGCUGUAAGUAAGCUUUGAUCCAGAGAUUUCCGAAUGGGGAAACCCAGCAUGAGUUAUGUCAUGUUAUCGAUAUGUGAAUACAUAGCAUAUCAGAAGGCACACCCGGAGAACUGAAACAUCUUAGUACCCGGAGGAAGAGAAAGAAAAUUCGAUUCCCUUAGUAGCGGCGAGCGAAACGGGAAGAGCCCAAACCAACAAGCUUGCUUGUUGGGGUUGUAGGACACUCUAUACGGAGUUACAAAGGACGACAUUAGACGAAUCAUCUGGAAAGAUGAAUCAAAGAAGGUAAUAAUCCUGUAGUCGAAAAUGUUGUCUCUCUUGAGUGGAUCCUGAGUACGACGGAGCACGUGAAAUUCCGUCGGAAUCUGGGAGGACCAUCUCCUAAGGCUAAAUACUCUCUAGUGACCGAUAGUGAACCAGUACCGUGAGGGAAAGGUGAAAAGCACCCCGGAAGGGGAGUGAAAUAGAACCUGAAACCGUGUGCUUACAAGUAGUCAGAGCCCGUUAAUGGGUGAUGGCGUGCCUUUUGUAGAAUGAACCGGCGAGUUACGAUUUGAUGCAAGGUUAAGCAGUAAAUGUGGAGCCGUAGCGAAAGCGAGUCUGAAUAGGGCGUUUAGUAUUUGGUCGUAGACCCGAAACCAGGUGAUCUACCCUUGGUCAGGUUGAAGUUCAGGUAACACUGAGUGGAGGACCGAACCGACUUACGUUGAAAAGUGAGCGGAUGAACUGAGGGUAGCGGAGAAAUUCCAAUCGAACCUGGAGAUAGCUGGUUCUCUCCGAAAUAGCUUUAGGGCUAGCCUCAAGUGAUGAUUAUUGGAGGUAGAGCACUGUUUGGACGAGGGGCCCCUCUCGGGUUACCGAAUUCAGACAAACUCCGAAUGCCAAUUAAUUUAACUUGGGAGUCAGAACAUGGGUGAUAAGGUCCGUGUUCGAAAGGGAAACAGCCCAGACCACCAGCUAAGGUCCCAAAAUAUAUGUUAAGUGGAAAAGGAUGUGGCGUUGCCCAGACAACUAGGAUGUUGGCUUAGAAGCAGCCAUCAUUUAAAGAGUGCGUAAUAGCUCACUAGUCGAGUGACACUGCGCCGAAAAUGUACCGGGGCUAAACAUAUUACCGAAGCUGUGGAUUGUCCUUUGGACAAUGGUAGGAGAGCGUUCUAAGGGCGUUGAAGCAUGAUCGUAAGGACAUGUGGAGCGCUUAGAAGUGAGAAUGCCGGUGUGAGUAGCGAAAGACGGGUGAGAAUCCCGUCCACCGAUUGACUAAGGUUUCCAGAGGAAGGCUCGUCCGCUCUGGGUUAGUCGGGUCCUAAGCUGAGGCCGACAGGCGUAGGCGAUGGAUAACAGGUUGAUAUUCCUGUACCACCUAUAAUCGUUUUAAUCGAUGGGGGGACGCAGUAGGAUAGGCGAAGCGUGCGAUUGGAUUGCACGUCUAAGCAGUAAGGCUGAGUAUUAGGCAAAUCCGGUACUCAUUAAGGCUGAGCUGUGAUGGGGAGAAGACAUUGUGUCUUCGAGUCGUUGAUUUCACACUGCCGAGAAAAGCCUCUAGAUAGAAAAUAGGUGCCCGUACCGCAAACCGACACAGGUAGUCAAGAUGAGAAUUCUAAGGUGAGCGAGCGAACUCUCGUUAAGGAACUCGGCAAAAUGACCCCGUAACUUCGGGAGAAGGGGUGCUCUUUAGGGUUAACGCCCAGAAGAGCCGCAGUGAAUAGGCCCAAGCGACUGUUUAUCAAAAACACAGGUCUCUGCUAAACCGUAAGGUGAUGUAUAGGGGCUGACGCCUGCCCGGUGCUGGAAGGUUAAGAGGAGUGGUUAGCUUCUGCGAAGCUACGAAUCGAAGCCCCAGUAAACGGCGGCCGUAACUAUAACGGUCCUAAGGUAGCGAAAUUCCUUGUCGGGUAAGUUCCGACCCGCACGAAAGGCGUAACGAUUUGGGCACUGUCUCAACGAGAGACUCGGUGAAAUCAUAGUACCUGUGAAGAUGCAGGUUACCCGCGACAGGACGGAAAGACCCCGUGGAGCUUUACUGUAGCCUGAUAUUGAAAUUCGGCACAGCUUGUACAGGAUAGGUAGGAGCCUUUGAAACGUGAGCGCUAGCUUACGUGGAGGCGCUGGUGGGAUACUACCCUAGCUGUGUUGGCUUUCUAACCCGCACCACUUAUCGUGGUGGGAGACAGUGUCAGGCGGGCAGUUUGACUGGGGCGGUCGCCUCCUAAAAGGUAACGGAGGCGCUCAAAGGUUCCCUCAGAAUGGUUGGAAAUCAUUCAUAGAGUGUAAAGGCAUAAGGGAGCUUGACUGCGAGACCUACAAGUCGAGCAGGGUCGAAAGACGGACUUAGUGAUCCGGUGGUUCCGCAUGGAAGGGCCAUCGCUCAACGGAUAAAAGCUACCCCGGGGAUAACAGGCUUAUCUCCCCCAAGAGUUCACAUCGACGGGGAGGUUUGGCACCUCGAUGUCGGCUCAUCGCAUCCUGGGGCUGUAGUCGGUCCCAAGGGUUGGGCUGUUCGCCCAUUAAAGCGGUACGCGAGCUGGGUUCAGAACGUCGUGAGACAGUUCGGUCCCUAUCCGUCGUGGGCGUAGGAAAUUUGAGAGGAGCUGUCCUUAGUACGAGAGGACCGGGAUGGACAUACCUCUGGUGUACCAGUUGUCGUGCCAACGGCAUAGCUGGGUAGCUAUGUGUGGACGGGAUAAGUGCUGAAAGCAUCUAAGCAUGAAGCCCCCCUCAAGAUGAGAUUUCCCAACUUCGGUUAUAAGAUCCCUCAAAGAUGAUGAGGUUAAUAGGUUCGAGGUGGAAGCAUGGUGACAUGUGGAGCUGACGAAUACUAAUCGAUCGAAGACUUAAUCAAAUU